UAUUCGAAAAAUUUAUUAAGUGCUCAUAUUCAAAAAUGAGGUAAAAGGGAAAUCAGUGAAAUUCUGGUACAGCCCCCGCUACUGUAAGGCAGAUGAACCCACAAUACCACCAGUUCAGGGAAGGUGUGGCAGUAAGGUGAAGCCGAGUCAGGAAACCUGCUUAAUAAAGAUAGUUAGA
rnacentral:ncRNA from 2 species